ACAGCUUUCCUUUUUGUUUCCCCAGGACAUUAACACAACUUUAUGAGCAAACCCGAUGGGCUUAGCACAUUGUUACGUUCCUGAGCUACAGCUGAAGGCUUCCUUUCCUCCCCAGGCGGCUCCCGAGACCCCAAGUGAUGUCUCUCCAAUGACAAGAGACCCUUCCGGCAGGCACGCCGUCGGUUAUGCCUUGGCCUCGCUGACCUUGAACAAGCCUCACUCCACUGAUGACUGAGCACGUGCCAGGUACAGUGUGGAGACGUACGUUUUAUGUGUGAGCCGCCAGAUCCCAGCAGCCACCUCUGCUUCCUGCACAUUAUAGGUCCAGGGCCACCGACGUCCUGUUCCAGAGAGAAAGGCCGGUGCUCGGGCGGCCCAGCGUGACUUGUGUGCUGUUGUUCAGGACUUUUCCUAAGCAGGGACAUGUGUCUUCUGUCCACGCGGAGGACCCAUGGGCCGCAGGGAGGUACCAGGCAUGUGUGGGCCUGGUGCCCAUCCUUCGGUAUCUGGGUCAUCGCUGAUGAGCCCAUCAGGCCUUCCCCUUGGGUCUUCUUCCUCCCUCUGCGCUUCCUCAAAGAAAGCCUUUGUGGCCUUCGCGGGCCCUUGGUGAACUGCCCGACCUACAGCUGGAGUCGCAUGCUGGCAGGGUCCCUCCUGCUGCUGUGCCUGUGGCCACAGACCCGAGCGUGGGCACUGCCAUGUCGCCUCCGAUUUUGUGGCCCUGGGCGAUUCACCCCACCUCUCACCCGCAGCGUGCUCUCUAUCUAAACCCCAUCUGGUUUUGUUUUCAAUUUGUUUUUCUAUCAAGAUAAUACAUGUACAUAGUUUGAAAGCUGAGCAAUACUACAAGGCUAAUAACCCAAGAAUUGCAGGCUCUGCUCUCCGCCCAGCUUCCCUCUCCCUGGCCCAUUAUUUUGGUUCUUUUGGCCAUUUCUUCUUACACUUCCCUUCGUAUUUUGGAAUAAUUUGCUAAUAUUGCUAUUUCUUGAUUUUUUUUUCCUCUUAGAAUGAAGAAUUUCUCCUCCUAGUAUGGAGAAAUGAGCUCUGAUAGCUGCCUCUCCACACACUUCCCUCCCCAUCCUUCCAGUGUCAUGAACUGGGAUAAACUGACGCUCAGCGUUUAUGUGUUUAAACUAUGUAAACAUGCUUUCUGCUAAACCAAGUGGCAUCCUAUUCCCUUUCUGCUGCAAUCCAUUGUUUUUCCUCAAGCUAAUAAUUAUCCCUUUUUCUUUUUUUGAUACUUUAUGCUCCCCCCACAAAAUCAUAAAAUUCUGACCGAAUACCACAAAGCUCUCUCAACACGCAGCCUCAGCACGUGGUGCAGAUUCUGUGGCUUCCCUGACAUGCAG